rnacentral:lncRNA from 1 species
AUGUCAGAGAUGCAUACUGGAGGCAGUACUGGAAGCGCUACAGCUAUGGUGAGGAGGUCCUGGAUCAGUACGGGUUUGAUCCCAUGGAGACAAGUUGCUUUCUCCACUGAUGGAGAAGUUUUGGCUGGCAUGAUAAGGAAGACAAAAUCAGCAAUUCCAGGGCUGCCUUCUAAAGAAAGAGAGGACGGGAAGGGACUGCUAAACAUGAAGAAACUUCCUGCAAAGCCACCAGACUGGAAAAAGAGCAUAAAAUCUUCCUGGACACCUAAUUAUCAAGCCAGCUCACAGUCACAGCUGUCUGCUUGGAGAACCCAUUAGAUGCAGCAGUUGAAGCCUCCAUAAUUCCCCAAACUUCCCGGUUGUGAAUAUUAAGAAAAGAUUUUUACAUGUCAUAUGCAAUUCGGAGGUG